CUCAGUGUCUCCUCUCCUUCGGGAGAACGGAAGGACGCCUGCGGCCUACGUAUGGCUGAGACAGGGAAAGGCAACAGGAAAAUGCAAAGGGAGAAAAUGGGAAAGUGAUGUGAAAUCUACCUUAAGAAGGAAAGUCAUGGAAUUUAGGAGUUGGUAGCAAACUUUAAAAUCAUCUGGCCAGUCACUCCAUUUUACAGUCUAUAUUCCCAGGAGAAUGGAAGUUCCUUGAGGACAAGAGCCACAACUUAUUAAUCAAUAUUUUGAAUGAGUUGCUGCUGCUGCUAAGUCACUUUAGUCGUGUCCGACUCUGUGCGACCCCGUAGAUGGCAGCCCACCAGGCUCCCCCGUCCCUGGGAUUCUCCAGGCAAGAACACUGGAGUGG